UUAGGAAUAUUCGUCAAUGGGGGAAACCCUGAACGAGCAAUGCCGCGUGAAGGAAGACGGUCCUCUGGAUUGUAAACUUCUGUUGUUAGGGAAGAACGACCUGUGUAGGAAAUGACAUAGGAGUGACGGUACCUUUCAAGAAAGCUCCGGCUAACUACGUGCCAGCAGCCGCGGUAAUACGUAGGGAGCGAGCGUUAUCCGGAAUUAUUGGGUGUAAAGCGUGUGUAGGCGGGAAAUUAAGUCUAAGGUCUAAGCCCGGAGCUCAACUCCGGUUCGCCUUAGAAACUGAUUUUCUUGAGUGUGGUAGAGGCAAACGGAAUUUCUAGUGUAGCGGUAAAAUGCGUAGAUAUUAGAAGGAACACCAGUGGCGAAGGCGGUUUGCUGGGCCACUACUGACGCUGAGACACGAAAGCGUGGGGAGCAAAUA
rnacentral:rRNA from 1 species